rnacentral:misc_RNA from 1 species
AGGAAAAAUAUGGUAAAUGCGAAGUCACCGAUAAAGUAUUACUUGCACUGGCCUUCGCGUUCUUCCUCGCCUGCGUGUUUUACAUUUCACAAAAGAGACUGUUCUGAAAGCCUUUUGUAUGUGAUAUUAAUGAAAUGGACUGAUCAUUUACGGUGAUAUCGCGACUGUAACAUAUUGCGCAGGAAUUCUCACGAUAAAUGACAUAGAGAAUGUAUGUACUAUUUAAGAGGAGAAAUCGGAACUUGUCUACUUGGAUGUUAACUGCGGGCUGGAUGGUCUACGCGUCCUGCACCAUCUCAUAAAUCGCGAAUAUUAUAACCAACAUUUCGCGCUUCGUGAUACAACCGUCUCCAUCAAAUCGUAGAAUCUGAUGAAAAGUUGCGCUCGAAAAUGAACCUGGAAUCAGACAAUCCGUUACUAACAGCGAUUACUGCUUACCCAAAUAUCCAAGAGAGCUGAUCGACCAUGCCGUUCACGAUCGAUGCUGU